CCUACGGGAGGCAGCAGUGGGGGAUAUUGCACAAUGGGGGAAACCCUGAUGCAGCGACGCCGCGUGUGGGAAGACGGUCCUCUGGAUUGUAAACCACUGUCCCCAGGGACGAAGAUGACGGUACCGGGGGAGGAAGCUCCGGCUAACUACGUGCCAGCAGCCGCGGUAAUACGUAGGGAGCGAGCGUUGUCCGGAAUUACUGGGUGUAAAGGGAGCGUAGGCGGGACUGCAAGUUGGGUGUCAAAUCUACCGGCUCAACCGGUAGCCGCACUCAAAACUGCAGUUCUUGAGUGAAGUAGAGGCAGGCGGAAUUCCUAGUGUAGCGGUGAAAUGCGUAGAUAUUAGGAGGAACACCAGUGGCGAAGGCGGCCUGCUGGGCUUUUACUGACGCUGAGGCUCGAAAGUGUGGGGAGCAAACAGGAUUAGAUACCCCUGUAGUC
rnacentral:rRNA from 1 species